rnacentral:rRNA from 1 species
AGAGUUUGAUUCUGGCUCAGGACGAACGCUGGCGGCGUGCCUAAUACAUGCAAGUCGAGCGAGCUUGCCUAGAUGAUUUUAGUGCUUGCACUAAAUGAAACUAGAUACAAGCGAGCGGCGGACGGGUGAGUAACACGUGGGUAACCUGCCCAAGAGACUGGGAUAACACCUGGAAACAGAUGCUAAUACCGGAUAACAACACUAGACGCAUGUCUAGAGUUUGAAAGAUGGUUCUGCUAUCACUCUUGGAUGGACCUGCGGUGCAUUAGCUAGUUGGUAAGGUAACGGCUUACCAAGGCAAUGAUGCAUAGCCGAGUUGAGAGACUGAUCGGCCACAUUGGGACUGAGACACGGCCCAAACUCCUACGGGAGGCAGCAGUAGGGAAUCUUCCACAAUGGACGAAAGUCUGAUGGAGCAACGCCGCGUGAGUGAAGAAGGGUUUCGGCUCGUAAAGCUCUGUUGGUAGUGAAGAAAGAUAGAGGUAGUAACUGGCCUUUAUUUGACGGUAAUUACUUAGAAAGUCACGGCUAACUACGUGCCAGCAGCCGCGGUAAUACGUAGGUGGCAAGCGUUGUCCGGAUUUAUUGGGCGUAAAGCGAGUGCAGGCGGUUCAAUAAGUCUGAUGUGAAAGCCUUCGGCUCAACCGGAGAAUUGCAUCAGAAACUGUUGAACUUGAGUGCAGAAGAGGAGAGUGGAACUCCAUGUGUAGCGGUGGAAUGCGUAGAUAUAUGGAAGAACACCAGUGGCGAAGGCGGCUCUAUGGUCUGCAACUGACGCUGAGGCUCGAAAGCAUGGGUAGCGAACAGGAUUAGAUACCCUGGUAGUCCACGCCGUAAACGAUGAGU